GAUUUAUCUGAUCCAGUAGCCAGAUAUGGAAGGACUAAAGGUUUAUUCUGAUGACACUGAAACAUUUUGGCUUGGGAAAGAUCUUAGUACAUCUCAUGCAAGGAGAGUCCUGCUGCCAUCUAGUGGGUGCUGGUGGCUGGGACAACAUUCCGACCUUCACUUCAUUAUCAACAAUGCAGUUUGCAAUAUCAUUUUCUCUGUCACCUUUGAUUGUUUCCUUGAGACCCAUGACUGCAGGUUUCAGGAGAUGUUGAAAUUAAUGGAUGAGUUCAUAUGUUUGGAAACAACAAUGCUGCAUCACUCUAUAAUGUUUUUCCACACUUAAUGAAAUAUAUUCUUGUAUCACUUCAAACAGUUUUCAGAAACGAGGAAAACUGAAAUUGCUUGCCUCUUGUAUGAUUGAUAAACAUGUGAGAGACUGGAACCCUGAUUAGCCAAGAGACUUCAUUGAUGUUUUCUUCAAGGAAAUGAUGAAGAUGAGAAAGUAAGUCAUGUUUUCCCCCACAGGCAAGAGAGCUUGCCAUGGAGAACAAUUGGCCAGGUCCGAACUGUUCAUUUUCUAAACUGCUCUUAUACAAAAAUUUGUCUUCAAGGUCCCAGUCAAUGAGAAGCUGAGUCUGAAGUUCAGAUUGGGCUUCCCCCUUCCCCCAGUCAACCACCACAUCUAUGCUGUCCCUAGAGACUGA
rnacentral:lncRNA from 1 species